ACUCCUACGGGAGGCAGCAGUAAGGAAUAUUGGGCAAUGGGCGGAAGCCUGACCCAGCCAUCCCGCGUGCAGGAAGAAUGCCCUAUGGGUUGUAAACUGCUUUUGCAUGAGAAGAAAAAGAACCAUUUAUGGUUUUCUGACGGUAUCUUGCGAAUAAGCACCGGCUAACUCCGUGCCAGCAGCCGCGGUAAUAC
rnacentral:rRNA from 1 species